rnacentral:lncRNA from 1 species
CUCCUUUUUCAGAUUUAUGUGGGAGAUGAAUACUACAUAUUAAAAAGCACACCCGGGUCCUAUAUACAUACUACAGCACAAAAAAGCUUUCCCAAGUACAAAACAAAACACCCUAAAUCUACCCAACCCGGGCAGGAGGAUCGAACCCGGGUUCAGUUCAAAUAACCCCAAAGCAACCAUGCCCCAAACUUACCCUACCCGGGCAUGAUUAUCCCGCCCGGGCCCAGUUCAAAAACCAAAAGCCACAAACAGUUUCAUAAACAUUUCAAAACAAAAACCAAGAUCAAAACCCAAGCCCUUACAGUUAUACACAUACAGAUACAUAUACACGACCAAGAACUUUCAAACAAAGAUUCAAACUAAAACCCAGAUUCCCGAGAAAACACAACCCCAAACCAAGCGCAAACAUCGAAACCAUUUCGGAUUAAAAACACAAAAGCUACGAAACAUUACAUAACCACAACAAACACAAAACAUGGCAUACGAGCGAAGCACUAACGGAAUUCGAAAACUACGAGUGCAAUAUCAAGCACACAUCAAAGCAACACAAUAUGGAAAGAAGAAGCAAGAGCGGGUCACUUACUAGGUACGAAAGCGGAGGAGAGAAACAAAAAACUGCAAGCACCAACCGACGAAAAUUCCGGCGAGAAAUGAAGCACGAAGCACGAACGAGCGGUUUCGAAAAGAAAACAGAGAAAAACGAAGAAGCAAAAGUAAAAAAUAAAAAGCAUGAAGGAAGCCCGUACUUAUAGUCACAUCUUGUGACACGUGGCAAUCUCCCAUUCGACAAAAUAAGUAAUUACGGCUGUAAUUAUUACAAACCCCUCAAAAGACGUGCCUUUUCAAGUUUCAAGAUAAAGAAACGGUUCAGACAGAAACCUUUUGAAAUUCCUCGGGGAGAGCUGCCGAUUCGCUUACUCUAGACCCGGGUAUCAUCACCGUACCCGGACCCACUUGCCAACCAGGACAAGGGAAUAGAGCACCGCCGAUACCCGAGUCCAGGGCAAAGCACAACCUAUAUCCGGGUUCACCCAGUCAGAGCGGCUUCGGCAAAGCUCCCACCUCCAUCUCAACCUGGAUCUAUCCGGGCAGGGGGGCAAACACAAACCUCCACAUCUACCCGGAUCCACUCAGCCGAAGGAGCAAAAGCAAAAACUCCACUUACUCCCUCACAUAGAGAAUCUAUAUAAGGGAGUGGGGGGCAAAUGAUAUGGUGUAACCCGGAUUGAAGAACCCGGACAUACGUUGAGAACCCCGGUCCCCGGGAAACCACCAGCAACAGAGCACGAUCUACCAGCCCUACGAGGACACACCGCCGGGGUAGGAUACAAGACCCGGGUAACUCCUAACCACACCCCUCGACCGGGGUCCAAACAUGUACCAGCCGACAGCUACUGCACGAGCCACAGACUGACACGAUGAAGACAAAUAUAACGGUCAACUACUGGCGAUAGAGACAACCCAGAGAACAUUCCAAAAUACUACUUCUACGCUGACACCUGGACACGUGUAGGGGAUCAAACCCCUACACGUGUAGGACCAGGAUCCAGGUACGCACCCCCGAACCCUAAUCCUUGGCCUAUAAAUAGACCAAGGAUCAAGAGUCUGGGGG